AGAAUAGCUAAAAUAAGAUAAUAAUAAAAGACAAAUUAAGACGCUUUAGUGAGAUGUAUCGAUUAAACAAGAUGGACAAGGCGUCAACGAUGAGGCUAGGGUUAGAAGAGCGGUUUGAAAAUAAUUAUCCCUCCCCAUUCCUCCACUGUUCUUUACGGAAGAUAAUAGACGGCCUUGCGGACAAACUAUAAAUAGUAAAGUGCGGCCGAAAAAAGUGAUUAAUGAUGUGUUCGAAGUAGUGACUAAACCUACGGGGAUUCUAAACGGCUGAUCGGAGGAUGGACACGCGUCUGCACACGCGCACACUUUUACAAACUCUUCAUGAUACAUGAUUUGAAAACAGUGGGCAAUCGAUCUCUAUCUUUAUCUUCUAACUGUCCAAAGGGCCGCCUGAAAAUUGAAAUGUCUCGAAAAUGGAUAACUCGUCGUCAGUUUGGAAGUGGACUAUUAAUAGUUACAAGCGCUUCGACCUUCGGGAAAAGGAUGAAUCCUACAUGAUGAAUAGCGUUCAAAGAAUGACAAGGCCAACUGGUCAAUCCCGAGGCUGAGUUUGAGGAAUCGUAGGCGGAGAUGAAGGCUUCACGCGGCGCGGAGGAACGAGAACGAGAGAUCAGGGCUCCUCGCUGGUAGGAUGGAUGCCGUCGUACGUUGGUACAGGCGCAGUGGAACCGUGUACGCCGACCUGUACCCCGUACAAGGAUACACCCUAUUCCGACUGGUGGAUAAACGCGGUAAGAGAGAGGCGCGGCCCACGGUAUCAUUUAUCAUUGCGGGAGCUCAUUAAGGCCGAAUCUGCCGCACGCUGAUCGUUUGGGAUUACACUUUCCUCCUUGUAUCCCUUCAGCGCUUAACCCCCUGCACAACCCCGUUCAUCUUCCUCCUCCUUUCUUCUUCACUCGCCCACUGUCUCCUUCUUUCAGC